rnacentral:lncRNA from 1 species
AAAAAGAACACGGAAAUACCUGAUAGCGAUCUCCACGGCUGGCAUGAAUGAUAUCAAGUAUGCCUACUUUCUUUUCUGUGCAUCUUCUACACCGGGCCUCAGUCAUCUAGUUAAAACAAACAGAAACACAAAUUAAACUUUGGCUGAAAACUCGGUUACUGUACUGGAUAUUCUUCAUUAUCUGGCCCUGGCAGAUUGUGAACUUAAUGCAUAUGAUGUAUAAUACCUACAGCUGCCUUGAUUCUUCUGAUUCAGACGCUAUCUCUGCUGGUGUCAACCCAGCCUGAAAUGAUUAGGAAGCGAGUAAUUCUAGAAUUUAGAGAAAAUACGCACUCAAAAGGGAGUAAUCAAACUGAAUCAAGAGAAAAUUAUAAUGACAGCAAGAAUUUGUCGAAGUGGUCUCCUGGCUCAACAGGUGGUUUCAGAAAAGAGGGGACAUAUCUAGUCUGAAACACUCACUACGUGCAAUUCUGGACAAUUGUGCAAGUGCAACUGACUAGUAUCCUUCACAAUUUGAGGUUGAAAACUCAAUUAGUAAGGGGAAACAAAGAAAAUAAAUCCCAGAAACAGUAACGUCUGAAGCUCUUCAAUUUUUCUAAACAUUGCUCGAAUAAAUUUUAGACUAACUUCCGAAAUAUGAAGGACUUCUGAUAUUUAAUAAUGCAGGUGCUUGAACCAAAUCAGUCCAGUACAUGCCCCUGUUCAGAUUUAAUAGUUAAAUGCUUUCAACUAAACAGAACCAUUUCGGUCUCAGCAACCAUGAUUAGAUUAUAAGAGUACUAACGCACCACAAAAACUAAUCUAAUCACUAAUGUGAAGAGAUGGAAAAUGGUCACUGUGAAGACCAAAAUGAAAAUAAGAUGAUUAGACCUUUAGUUCGUCAGGGGUCAUCGUUAACAGAACCGGAGGAUCAAGCGCCUUGUCCAUUAGUCGCUUGCACAGUACAGAACUUUUCUGCAUAUCCAGAAAAUCAAUGAUCUGUCAAUUUCUCGAAUAAUAAGACUAUACAAGUGUAGAACAUGUGACUUAAAAAUGGCUAAGGACGCAUCAUAAACUGCUGAAUAGUACAUAUGACAUUGUCAUUAUGGAACGGCAGUACUGUAAUUAUAACAACAAUAUAAUAACAAUAAAAGGCGCCAUAGAAUUACAUUAUACAGUUCCAAACUACUAAAAUCUACCAGGUUUGUAGCCUGAAGAACUAUGGUUAGCAGUAAAAACUUAGUUCGAGAAAAAAUGCCUAGUCUCACCCAAAUAAAAAAAGGUAGUUAUAGAAAAGCCUAAUAUUGAUGUAAGAUCAUUAUAUCUUUGGAAGGGUGAACAGGCAAAACAAAGACUCCUGCCAUGAACUGUGCCUUGCCACACUUCCUUAGCAUUGUUAUAGUAGCAACUAGCAAGAGCACAGCUAAUUCUGAUUUGGGACUCUUGUUUCUGGGCUAUGAUGGAUGCAGCUGGCCAGGCUUCACCUCUUAUUUACAGCUGAAAGCAACUAGGUCACAAGCACCUCAGUAGCUUUCUUACAUCCUAAGAAAUCUUGACUUGACCCACUGACAUGUAGCCUAAGACACGGACUCGACUCACUAGCUUACAACCUAAGGAAAAGACUUGACUGAUUGACUGACUGCUGCAAGUUCUUCCCCUAACCCUUGCAAAUCAGACAUGAAUUGAUUUGGACAAUCCCAAUCCUAGCACGCAGCUCAUGGAAUUUCACCCGCCCUAAUGCUUUCGUUUUGGCGUUGACACUCCCAUCCACCAAGCAAUCCCGGAUGAAAUGGUACCGUACGUCGAUAUGUUUGCUGCAUUAGUGGAAGACUGAGUUCUUGGCCAGCACCAAGGCGGACUUGUCGUCCACCAUAGCUGAUGCGGAGCAUCCCUCGACCAUCCCGUCACCACCGCAAGCACGAAGAGGACCAAUGACGAGAGCUCGCGCACGUGCCGUCGAAACCGAGGUUAACUCCUUCCUCUUCGAAUUCCAUUCGAAUUCACACGAGAGUUGGGUCCUACCUCAAACGGAAGUGUUGUGCAUUCUUAGGUACCAAGGAGAAACCCAUGAAGAAGUUAGGAGGGAUACCCAAGCACACAUGGAGAAGAAGGAAGAAGGACGUGAAGGAACGGAACCUCUGGACACCCCGGGUGCCCGGACACGAGGCCGUGGGGUGGGCAAACCCCCCUGGACACCCCGGGUGCCCGGCCAUCGCCACCUGGGCGCCGCCCCUGCCUGCUUCGGGUGCCCGGCCCUUUGGCCCCUGGUGCCCGGGUCCCUCUCCAGCCGCCAGCCGCCGCGCCCCGGGUGCUCGGGCUCCUCUCCAGCCGCCAACCGCGGCCCCGGGUGCCCGAGCCCUCAACCCCCGAGUGCCCGGUCCCCCUCCAGCCGGCCCUCUGCUCGGUCCGGGUGCACCUGGCCCUCUUCGCCCCGAUUGCCCGGGCUCCCUUAGGCGCCAGCCCCUGUCCCCUUUUCCCCGGGUGCCUGGACUCCACCAUUUUGCCUGCACGCAAUUAAGGCUAAAAGACCCUUGUACCCCUCUUCCUCUUAUUUCGUCCCUAGACUAUAAGUACCCAUCACCUAGCUUGUUCUAGAGGUUAGCAAAGUAUUUGAUAGACACUAGAGAGCUUUGCUCCUUGUAUCCCCUCCUCUUGGAGAGCAAGACCCCUCAUUGGGAAGAAUCCUUGUGGAUUAUCAAGGCCUCCUCUUGGAGAAGAUCAACAUCAAGACGUCAUCUCCUUGCAGUGGGAAGAACUUUACCCUAGUGCUAUUUUCCUUGAAAUGUUCUUGUAUACUUGUGGAUCUCAUGUACGCUACUCUAGUGGAUGUGUGAUUUGGGUUUGUUUGAGUGAUUUCUCCCUUGUGUUCUUAUGUGUUCAUCACUUUUUUCCCCCUCCAAGUGUGAAAAGAUUCCUUCUAGGGUUUCACCCUACAACAAUAGCUCGACUGCCUCAGCUUCUUCCCCAUGAAGUUAACUAAAGAGCCGAGCCAACCAAAGUCCUUGUGUUGUGGCUGCUACCUCACAGGAGAACAGAGCCACCACUACUCGCUGCUUGAGCGACUCCAACUCACCAAACAACUACCAAGGAAGAACACCGUGCCACUCGUGCUCUUCCGGGUGCCAAUAUCACCGUCAAGGUCACUGUCGCUAUAGUCAAUCCUCCGCGCGUGGCGUAGACCGUAGUGGCUGGUGCCAGCAACAUAGCGAAGGAUGAGCUUCACUACCAUCAUGUGCUCCUAUGCAGGUUGCUCCAUGAAGUGACUCACGAAUGCGAUGGCAAACGCUAGGUCCGGCCGUGUGGGGAGAAGGUAGCGGAGGCUGUUAACGAUCCUCAUAUACUCUGCGGCAUCCGCCUUUUCCGUCAUGCUCUCACGCCUCAGUUUGAGUCACUCCUCCAUCGGAGUGUGAGCUGGGUUGCAGCCUUCCAUUCCUCCAAGCUGAAGUAUGUGUGAAGCAUAGUGUGCCUGACAUAGGCUGAUGCCAUCGCCAUCUUGCUAGACUUCGAUUCCGAGAUAGAAUGACAACAGUCCAAAGUCACUCAUCUGGACUUUUGCUUUCAUCUCGUCAUUAAAGCUCUCCACUGGUCCCUUGGAUGAACCAGUCAUGAUCAAAUCAUCUAACUCCAAUGAGCAGGAUUUCGUCGCCAGUGAUGCACCGGUUGAUCACGUGCUCAUGCUCGCUCGGUUUGAAGCAAAUUUCAUUGAGCGUGCAAUCCAGUUUUGUAUUCCAUGCUCGUGGUGCCUACGUAAGGCCAUAGAGGGCCUUACGCAGCUGCGGACUUUUCCUUCUUCUCCAGCAAUGAUGAAACCAGGCGGCUGCUUCAUGUAGACCACCUCCUUCAAUUCUCCAUUAAAUAUGGUGGACGGGCCACCUCUUGUGGGCAGCCAAAGCAAGCAGCAGCCGAAAUCAGUGCCAGCUUGCUGGACGUAACCUCGUGCGACCAACCGUGCUUUUUGCUUGAUCACCUUGCCAGCUUCAAUUUUUCUUCAAUUUGUAGACCCAUUUGCCCAUGUGGUAGAUCGGUGAGCUCCCAUGUCAUGUUUUGCUCCAUCGGGUCCAUUUCCUCACGCAUGGCUGGUUGCCAUGCCUUGUCUCUCUCAGCUUCUGCAAACAAGCACGGCUACAAGUGUAGCUCGGCGUCAAGGUUGCGCGGUGCAAGUCCUGGCAGUAGUUCUCCUCCAUUCAGAUUCUUGACUGUGUGAUAGCGAACUGGUGUGUCCCAGUGAGCAACAUCGAGUCGAUCAUCAUCGUUUGCUGGUGGUGUGACAAAUUCUGGAGUUGCUGGAGCUAGUACGACAAGUGAAGUACUUCGUCCCAUGUCCUGUUGACGCAGGCUCAGCUCCCCCUGCGCUGGAUGCAUAGUUGAGUGCCUUCACUCCGUGACGACAAAUGUACUGGACAUCAAAGUCGCUGUCCGAGUGUGCACCGCCAUCGGCUGCCGAAUCCCAGCCACAUUCUUCGUUGAAGAUGACGGGCAUGCGGAUGCGCCGCGUCACAGGGUCCAGCAGCUGGUACGCCUUCACACCAUCUUCAUAGCCGGUGAACACAACGGGGGAGCUGUGCUCGUCAAGCUUACACAGGUUCCCCUGCUCCUUGACAUACGCUAAGCACCCAAAGGUGCGAAGGUAGUGGACAGCCGGAUUGCGGCCGUGCCACGAGUCGUAAGGCGUCAUUCCAGCAAGGGAUUUGGUGGGAGCAUGGUUGAGCAGGAAGACAGCAGUGCUCACAGACUCCCCCCAAAAUUCAGCCAGCAUGCUCCUCUGUUUCAGAGGAGCACAUGCCAUUGCCACCACUGUCUGGUUCCGCCGCUCGACGACACCAUUCUGUUGCGGCGCUUAAGGUGCGGAGAAGUGGCGUUGGCUGCCUUCAUCGGCAGAAUAGGUAGCAAACUCCGUUGAGGUAAACUCGCCACCGUUAUCCGUGCGGAACAGUUUACAUCCGCUCUGAGCUUCUGCCGCUACCUGAAUUCUUUUGAUGGAUCAGGUGCACUAUUCUUGGCAGCCAGGAGCAUCACCCACAUGCAGCGAGUGGCAUCGUCCACCAGCAGCAAGAAAUAGCGUCCUCCAGGUAUGGCCGGCGAAACAGGACCAUAGAGGUCACCAUGGACGAAUUCAAGUAGCUCAUGCGCGUGGUACCUUGCUUGCCAAGGAAAUGUGCCGCGACAAUGCUUGGCGAUGACACACAUGUCGCAAAGCUGCUCCACAUGAUCCAACCAUGGCAGCCCACGUGUCAUGCGAGGCAUCCCAUCUUCUCCAACGCGUCGAAAUUGAGUGGUCCAUAUCUCUCACCAAGCGAUGUCAUCAUGGCAUGCAGAGAGACAUAUUGGCUGGGCCACCUAAAGAUGUAGGAGGUAAAGGUAAUUCCGCCCACGCCCAACCCAAACAAGGAAUUGACCUUGCUGGUCCAGAUUCGAAGCACACCUCUUCUGAUCAGCACACAUGAGUCGCUCUCAUCG